rnacentral:rRNA from 1 species
CGCCGCCGCUGUCCGUCUCUACCGGCCGCCACCGCGGCGGCGCAGCCGCGACAGCUCGGGCACCUCCCGCGACGACGUCGCUCGCGACCUGCGGUUGCGCGUGGAGUUCGUGAGGUGAAAGAAGGUCGAGCGGUGCCACCCGCGGCCGCCGUCCGGCCGCUUAGCGUGGCAGCACAAGUCCCCCAAGGUUCUCGUGACGCUGUUCUAAGUCUAAUUGUGCCUACGCGCCUCGUUGUUCUAACCCCUCUAGUUCCUUACCGGGGAGCCGCUCUAUACGACCAUAAAGUGGCUAAGGACCCUCGUUAAAGCCUAGUCGCCAUAGUAUCUACACUAGCUGCCAAGGUCAGGCCUGGGACGGUUCGAGGUCGUUGCUCUCUUUCGAACCAAGCGGUCAAGUCACUUCAGUUCUAGUGUUAUGAAUCCUGUUUCAGGUCCCCAAGGGCAGCGUUUACUACUGGUGUAAUUCCUACAAGUAUAGCUAGGUAGCCGACGGGGUCAACUACGGAUGACAGAAGACUGAGAACUAGGUCUUUUCCAACUAAUACACUUGAAUUUUUCAUUAGUCUCUAACUACAAGUGUUCUUGGGUCCUUCCUCUACUCAGGUCACUGACCUACCGGCUUUUUCAAUCGGGUAUUACUGAAAAAAACAAUUCCUUCUUGACUUUCCCCAAAAGACUCUGCGAGUGAAUCGGUCAGAAGAAUACCUUUCGAAACUUCCGGAUCCAUCUGUGGAACUAGACCCUUAAGACGUUAAUGAUACAAAAAAAGUCAUCCCCAAUUUCCUCAUAAUGAAAGGAUUAAAACCUGGGUCGAUCAAUCGACCGGAGACUAGUCCUAGCCUU